UACGAAGGGGGCUAGCGUUGCUCGGAAUCACUGGGCGUAAAGCGCACGUAGGCGGCUUUCUAAGUCAGGGGUGAAAUCCUGGAGCUCAACUCCAGAACUGCCUUUGAUACUGGGAAGCUUGAGUUCGGGAGAGGUGAGUGGAACUGCGAGUGUAGAGGUGAAAUUCGUAGAUAUUCGCAAGAACACCAGUGGCGAAGGCGGCUCACUGGCCCGGUACUGACGCUGAGGCACGAAAGCGUGGGGAGCAAACAGG
rnacentral:rRNA from 1 species